rnacentral:misc_RNA from 1 species
UUUCCGUAGGUGAACCUGCGGAAGGAUCAUUAACGAGUUAGGGUCUUAGGCCCGACCUCCCAACCCUAUGUUUAUUGAACCUCUGUUGCUUCGGCGGACCCGUCUCACGGCCGCCGGAGGACCGCUGCGAGGCGUCCUCUGGCCAGCGUCCGCCGAUGGCCAACCCACUAAACUCUGAAUGAAUCGUGUCAUGUGUCUAAGUCUAUGAUUAAAUUAAAGCAAAACUUUCAACAACGGAUCUCUUGGUUCUG